UUCUCGCGUGAGUGAUUGAGGCGUUAUCCUUUUUUGAGGAACGAAAAAAAGAUAUAGCCGAAAGCACGACCCAGC
rnacentral:sRNA from 26 species